UCUCAUAGAUAGGAAUAGUCGCAAUAAUUCUAUUUUGAGUUUGGUUUGGGUUUGCCCAACUACUCUCUCUAACUUUUUUUAUAUGUAUGUUGGUUUCUUGAAUUUUAAUUUAAUUAAGUUGGUUUUACAAGAAAAUUAAUUAAAAAAGGUGUGUGUAUUUUGGAAUGAUUGAUUCUCAAUUUAUUUUCCUUCUCACUUGCCUUAAUUUUCACGAUGUGCACCCCACUCUCUCCUUUCCUUCACCAUAAUUAUAUUGCUGUUCUCUAUCUUUGACACAAAUAUAUCCCAUUAGGUCGGCCAACGAAGAAUUGAAUUAAAGGGACUUCAUACUCCUCAUAUUUGGACUACUUCUUUUGAAUUGAUUUUAAGAUAAAUCUUAUACUAUUUAAUAACCUUAUGUUAGCAUUAUUAAUUUAUUAAUCAUUUAAUGUUUAGAUAUUAUUCUAUAAUAAUUUAUAAUACAUGUAUACUCUUUUACUUGUAAUUCUAUGACAAAUGUUUAGAUACUGUUA